rnacentral:rRNA from 1 species
GCCUACGACCAUACCAUGCUGAAUAUACCGGUUCUCGUCCGAUCACCGAAGUCAAGCAGCGUAGGGCCUGGUUAGUACUUGGAUGGGAGACCGCCUGGGAAUACGGUUGUUGUAGGCA